rnacentral:sRNA from 1 species
GUGGGAGUGCUGAUUCUGUCCUCCUUGCGGGUGCGGAGAUGGUUGUCUUGGUUACGGGUCCUAACGGUCCCCUGCCUUGAAAUCCCUUGUUGAGGGCCUGCAACCUUGUGCUUCCGACUGGAGACGCCUUUGGUCCCUCGGUGUCUGCACUGGCUGCUGGCCAAGCCUUCAGUGUGGAGUAAUUGACACUUUCGAGAUUGAAGAAUUGGAGGAGAAACUUAAUGAUGCACUUCACCAGAAGCAGCUACUAACAUUGAGAUUAGACAACCAAUUGGCUUUUCAACAGAAAGAUGCCAGCAAAUAUCAAGAAUUAAUGAAACAGGAAAUGGAAACCAUUUUGUUGAGACAGAAACAACUAGAAGAGACAAAUCUUCAGCUAAGAGAAAAAGCUGGAGAUGUUCGUCGAAACCUGCGUGACUUUGAGUUGACAGAAGAGCAAUAUAUUAAAUUAAAAGCUUUUCCUGAAGAUCAGCUUUCUAUUCCUGAAUAUGUAUCUGUUCGCUUCUAUGAGCUAGUGAAUCCAUUAAGAAAGGAAAUCUGUGAACUACAAGUGAAAAAGAAUAUCCUAGCAGAAGAAUUAAGUACAAACAAAAACCAACUGAAGCAGCUGACAGAG